GGUGGCCGCUGAAACCCACGGCCCUCGGCGUCUCGGGCCCGAGGCUCAUCCCGGCGUCCGGCCGGUCCGUCUCGCGCGCGGGCGCGGCCCCUGGGGAGAGAGCGCGGCGUCUGCGGGCGGCCGGCGGCGGGGUCCCCGGGGCGUGUCCCCCCCAGGCCUGGGCGGUGGGCGCGGCGGCGGCGGGGGAGGCGGCCCGGCGCCAUUUUGUGCGAGCCCGGCGGUGGCGGCGGCUGGUUCUCGCGGCCUCGCGUCUCUCCCGCUUCGUCGCCGCGGCCCACGGAGCACCAUGUCGGAGUACAUCCGCGUGACGGAGGAUGAGAACGACGAGCCCAUCGAGAUCCCGUCGGAGGACGACGGCACCGUGCUGCUGUCCACCGUCACCGCGCAGUUCCCGGGCGCCUGCGGGCUGCGCUACCGCAACCCGGUGUCCCAGUGCAUGCGCGGGGUGCGGCUGGCGGAGGGCGUGCUGCACGCGCCGGACGCAGGCUGGGGCAACCUGGUGUACGUGGUCAACUACCCCAAAGAUAACAAAAGGAAAAUGGACGAAGCCGACGCUUCUUCAGCUGUGAAGGUGAAGAGAGCAGUCCAGAAAACAUCGGACUUAAUAGUCCUGGGUCUCCCCUGGAAAACAACCGAACAGGAUCUCAAAGAGUAUUUCAGCACCUUUGGAGAAGUCCUGAUGGUUCAGGUCAAGAAAGACAUCAAGACCGGCCACUCCAAGGGCUUUGGCUUUGUGCGCUUCACGGAGUAUGAGACCCAGGUGAAGGUGAUGUCUCAGCGGCACAUGAUAGACGGGCGGUGGUGCGACUGUAAGCUGCCCAACUCCAAGCAAAGCCCAGACGAGCCCCUGCGGAGCCGGAAGGUGUUUGUGGGGCGCUGCACGGAGGACAUGACGGCCGACGAGCUACGUCAGUUCUUCUGCCAGUACGGGGAGGUGGUGGACGUCUUCAUCCCCAAGCCCUUCAGGGCCUUCGCCUUCGUCACCUUUGCAGAUGACCAGGUUGCCCAGUCUCUUUGUGGAGAGGACUUGAUCAUUAAAGGAAUCAGCGUGCAUAUAUCCAAUGCUGAGCCUAAGCACAAUAGUAAUAGGCAGUUAGAGCGCAGUGGAAGAUUUGGUGGUAAUCCAGGUGGCUUUGGGAACCAGGGCGGCUUUGGGAACAGUCGAGGGGGGGGGGCCGGGCUGGGCAACAACCAGGGCAGUAACAUGGGCGGGGGGAUGAACUUCGGCGCUUUCAGCAUCAACCCGGCGAUGAUGGCCGCGGCCCAGGCGGCACUGCAGAGCAGCUGGGGCAUGAUGGGCAUGUUAGCCAGUCAGCAGAAUCAGUCGGGCCCGUCGGGGAACAACCAGAGCCAAGGCAACAUGCAGAGGGAACCAAACCAGGCCUUCGGUUCUGGGAACAAUUCUUACAGCGGUUCCAAUUCAGUUCAUCUCAUUUCAAAUGUCUGUGGAAGAAGCACUUACUGAGCGUAGUGCUGUAGCAACUCCCCGUGCCGCAGGACAGCUUCUGUCUACACGCUUUCUCCUUCGAGAAUCCGCCACCGCCAUCGCACCGCACAGGCUGCGUCUCUGACGCCCUGAAUGCAAAGAAUCCAUAGCAGUUAAUUCCCCUUUUUUGACCCUUUUGAGAUGGAACUUUCAUAAAGUUUCUUGACAAUAGUUUAUUUUGCUUCAAAUAAACUGAUUUGAAAAGUUGUCUCAAGUCAAAUGGAUUCACCACCUGUCAUGCAUUGACACCUGAUACCCAGACUUAAUUGCUAUUUGUUCUUGCAUUGCCCAAAGUGAAAAGCUUUUUUUUUUUCUCUUUUUCUUUUCAAGUCUAGUUUUAAAUAAGUCUGGUGACCACACCUAAAAUGGUAAGCAGCGCCCUCCCGCUCUUUUCUUAGUGCCUCUGUGCAUUGGGUGAUGUUCUGUUUACAUGGCCAGGCUGAAUCUCCAUGGGGAGGUCAUGCCCUGGGGCAGCGGGCUCAGGAAUUACUUUCAGGUGCUUGUAGCAAAGCACUGUCCCUUUCAAAGAAGGGGGUGUCUGCGUCUUCCUAGUUCAGCAUCUGAAAAGUGAAAUUAAUCGCAGUAGGGGUCAACUAGAAGGGCCCACAAGCGAUCUUGUGCCUGAAGUCCAUUCAGAAGCUGAGAGCUUUAAGAACUGGCAGAGCAGGUUGCCUGCCGGGGGGGCGUUAGUGAGUGGGCUCUGCGUCCUCCGCGGGCGGGGGGCACGGGCCGAAGCAGACUGGGCCCUCGGCAUGGCCACCACACGCUCGGCUGUACUUCCUGUGUAACUCCCAAGCGUGCGGGCUGAGCUCCGUUUUCAUGGGGAGACUGACGGUCUGUGUCUAAAGAUGCUCAGCGGUUUGUCGCUGACUUUAGGAAGGGGCCCGCCUGCUAGGCCUGCUCUCCGCACUGUUGCGUCAGCCGUUUCCUCUGUAAAGGCUCUUGUUUUCUCUCUCUGCACCUACACCGCGUGACCUGAACCCUGUGCGUGUGAAUUUCGCACCCUAGCACUUGCACUGUUGCAGCAGCAGUAGUGUGGUGGCACUAGGAUGCUUUCUGCCCUCGGGACCGCAGAGAUAACAGCAGGCUGCAAGGAGCCGGUAAGUCCACUUGUCCGCACUGGAGGCGCCUCUGGCCCCGCUUAGCUCCGGGCUUUGACCUCUGCGUAAGUUAAGUCUGUUUGGUCAUCUAAAUGCAUUCAUUCUGAAAAAGAGAGAGCAAGAAAGACCUGGAAACCAGUUGAAUAAAAUGUUUUGUUGCCACCACA